CCAGGGUGAACAAACACAGCCAUGUUUACCCUCACCAGGGCACAUUUGCAAGCUGAAAAAGACUGGGCAUAUUCAUCCCUUUCCUGCUUAGAGUAAUGGGGAGCCCAGCUGGGGUGGUUACCAGGUUCACAAAGAAACAGGCAAAAUUUUGGCAAGUCACUGGGAGACCUAGCAACAAAAUUCACUGCCCCCACCCCCUUUCCCAUCCAUCUGAAAUACAGGUUGCCUCAAAGAAGCAUGAAAUCCCUGGGAACUUCUUGUGCCUUUUGAACAAAUCAGCUCGAUGAAGGGAGAUGACUCAGUCUCCUUUGCCCCCGAAAGCAAGAGCCAACUCUGGCUACCAGCAGUCUUGGCUCCACAAAAGAACAAUUUACCCUGGUUCCAUCCCAGACUCCAGUCAGUCUCCCUGCAGCUUCAAGUGGCAUCAAAGAGGAGAAGAUUUCCUCCAGCUGAUCAAUGGCAGCAUAUGCACAGGGGCAGUGGACAUGGCAACAAUGAAG
rnacentral:lncRNA from 1 species